GCAACUUAUUUUGGGAGGCUUAUGGGUCCUA
rnacentral:piRNA from 1 species